rnacentral:misc_RNA from 1 species
CGACCUCGAGCGUAGCUUGGUGUUGAGGAUUGCAGCAGCAUCCUUUAAAAGCAUUGGCGGCAGCGCAGCUCAAUCGCAACAAAAUGCGUGCAAGGCGGCCAACUGCCCGCCAUAAACUCUCCCGUCAGGGACUUUUUACCA